UCAGGACGAACGCUGGCGGCGUGCCUAAUACAUGCAAGUCGAACGAACUCUGGUAUUGAUUGGUGCUUGCAUCAUGAUUUACAUUUGAGUGAGUGGCGAACUGGUGAGUAACACGUGGGAAACCUGCCCAGAAGCGGGGGAUAACACCUGGAAACAGAUGCUAAUACCGCAUAACAACUUGGACCGCAUGGUCCGAGUUUGAAAGAUGGCUUCGGCUAUCACUUUUGGAUGGUCCCGCGGCGUAUUAGCUAGAUGGUGGGGUAACGGCUCACCAUGGCAAUGAUACGUAGCCGACCUGAGAGGGUAAUCGGCCACAUUGGGACUGAGACACGGCCCAAACUCCUACGGGAGGCAGCAGUAGGGAAUCUUCCACAAUGGACGAAAGUCUGAUGGAGCAACGCCGCGUGAGUGAAGAAGGGUUUCGGCUCGUAAAACUCUGUUGUUAAAGAAGAACAUAUCUGAGAGUAACUGUUCAGGUAUUGACGGUAUUUAACCAGAAAGCCACGGCUAACUACGUGCCAGCAGCCGCGGUAAUACGUAGGUGGCAAGCGUUGUCCGGAUUUAUUGGGCGUAAAGCGAGCGCAGGCGGUUUUUUAAGUCUGAUGUGAAAGCCUUCGGCUCAACCGAAGAAGUGCAUCGGAAACUGGGAAACUUGAGUGCAGAAGAGGACAGUGGAACUCCAUGUGUAGCGGUGAAAUGCGUAGAUAUAUGGAAGAACACCAGUGGCGAAGGCGGCUGUCUGGUCUGUAACUGACGCUGAGGCUCGAAAGUAUGGGUAGCAAACAGGAUUAGAUACCCUGGUAGUCCAUACCGUAAACGAUGAAUGCUAAGUGUUGGAGGGUUUCCGCCCUUCAGUGCUGCAGCUAACGCAUUAAGCAUUCCGCCUGGGGAGUACGGCCGCAAGGCUGAAACUCAAAGGAAUUGACGGGGGCCCGCACAAGCGGUGGAGCAUGUGGUUUAAUUCGAAGCUACGCGAAGAACCUUACCAGGUCUUGACAUACUAUGCAAAUCUAAGAGAUUAGACGUUCCCUUCGGGGACAUGGAUACAGGUGGUGCAUGGUUGUCGUCAGCUCGUGUCGUGAGAUGUUGGGUUAAGUCCCGCAACGAGCGCAACCCUUAUUAUCAGUUGCCAGCAUUAAGUUGGGCACUCUGGUGAGACUGCCGGUGACAAACCGGAGGAAGGUGGGGAUGACGUCAAAUCAUCAUGCCCCUUAUGACCUGGGCUACACACGUGCUACAAUGGAUGGUACAACGAGUUGCGAACUCGCGAGAGUAAGCUAAUCUCUUAAAGCCAUUCUCAGUUCGGAUUGUAGGCUGCAACUCGCCUACAUGAAGUCGGAAUCGCUAGUAAUCGCGGAUCAGCAUGCCGCGGUGAAUACGUUCCCGGGCCUUGUACACACCGCCCGUCACACCAUGAGAGUUUGUAACACCCAAAGUCGGUGGGGUAACCUUUUAGGACCAGCCGCCUAAGUGGGACAGAUGAUUAGGUGA
rnacentral:rRNA from 1 species